rnacentral:lncRNA from 10 species
AAAUCUGAGACAGCCUUGGUCUGAGGGAGCAAAGACAGAGAAUUCACGUGCUGCCCAGGCAUAGCCACAUAGCAGGUGGACAUCCCUGGACACUUUUCUGACAAAGCACGCAAUGUGGGGACAACACAGAAAUCCAAGAAAGGCAAGACCAAUUUCAAGGCACUAAAUAAGUGGACUGAGACAAGAAGUACACAGAUACUUCCCAGAACAAAACCCUCAUUGGAUUUUCCUGGAAGUACGGAGAGUUACAUCCAGAGAACUCUGAACAUUUUGGAAGGACCCCAAUCCUGCAAACAAUGAAUGGCAAUAAAUCCUGGGACUGGAAAGGGGCUUCUCAACCCCAAGGCAACCAUAAAGUCCUAUACAAAGAAAGAUACAGCAGUGUGAAAGAGGCCUGGAUGAAAAAACAAAGACAGAGCCAGUGAGCCAGAGCCAGAGCCAGAGGACAAGAGAGAAAGGCAGAGAAUGGAAAACACAGACAGAGAAGGCAGAUGCGUAGAGAGACAGAGAUUCAAUGAGAAAAUAAGGAAGGAAGAAAGAAAGAAAACAAAAACGUUCUCAGCACUACAACUUCUGCCUUGUUCUGUUCCAGAACAGUAUGAGCUCAGUACUUUUUCAGACUCUCAAUUUUCUACAACUAA